rnacentral:rRNA from 1 species
UAACGCGAAGAACCUUACCUGGGUUUGACAUACACCGGAAGCCUCUAGAGAUAGAGGUCUCUUUGAUACUGGUGUACAGGUGGUGCAUGGCUGUCGUCAGCUCGUGUCGUGAGAUGUUGGGUUAAGUCCCGCAACGAGCGCAACCCUCGUUCCAUGUUGCCAGCAGCACCUUCGGGUGGCUGGGGACUCAUGGGAGACUGCCGGGGUCAACUCGGAGGAAGGUGGGGAUGACGUCAAGUCAUCAUGCCCCUUAUGUCCAGGGCUUCACGCAUGCUACAAUGGCCGGUACAAAGGGCUGCGAUCCCGUGAGGGGGAGCGAAUCCCAAAAAGCCGGUCUCAGUUCGGAUUGGGGUCUGCAACUCGACCCCAUGAAGUCGGAGUCGCUAGUAAUCGCAGAUCAGCAACGCUGCGGUGAAUACGUUCCCGGGUCUUGUACACACCGA